GUGUCAGCAGCCGCGGUAAGACGAACCGUGCGAACGUUGUUCGGAAUCACUGGGCUUAAAGGGCGCGUAGGCGGUCGAUCAAGUCCGGGGUGAAAUCUUUCGGCUUAACCGGAAAAGUGCCUUGGAUACUGAUUGGCUGGAGGGAGGCAGGGGCAGCUGGAACUUCCGGUGGAGCGGUGAAAUGCGUUGAUAUCGGAAGGAACUCCGGUGGCGAAAGCGAGCUGCUGGUCCUCUUCUGACGCUGAGGCGCGAAAGCUAGGGGAGCAAACGGGAUUAGAUACCCCGGUAGUCC
rnacentral:rRNA from 1 species